GAUGAACGCUAGCUACAGGCUUAACACAUGCAAGUCGAGGAGUAACGAGAGGAAAGCUUGCUUUCCUUGUCGACGACCGGCGCACGGGUGAGUAACGCGUAUCCAACCUGCCCCCAACUAGGGAAUAACCUUGCGAAAGUAAGACUAAUACCCUAUAAUUUCCUCAGAUGUCAUCUGACGAGGAAUAAAGAUUUAUCGGUUGUGGAUGGGGAUGCGUCUGAUUAGCUUGUUGGCGGGGUAACGGCCCACCAAGGCAACGAUCAGUAGGGGUUCUGAGAGGAAGGUCCCCCACAUUGGAACGGAGACACGGUCCAAACUCCUGCGGGAGGCGGCAGUGAGGAAUAUUGGUCGAUGGGCGGAAGCCUGAACCAGCCAAGUAGCGUGCAGGAUGACGGCCCUAUGGGUUGUAAACUGCUUUUAUACAGGAAUAAAGUUAGCCACGUGUGGUUAUUUGUAGGUACUGUAUGAAUAAGGACCGGCUAAUUCCGUGCCAGCCGCCGCCGUAA
rnacentral:rRNA from 1 species